rnacentral:rRNA from 1 species
GUGUCAGCAUCCGCGGUAAUACGGAGGGUGCGAGCGUUAAUCGGAAUUACUGGGCGUAAAGCGCAUGCAGGUGGUUUGUUAAGUCAGAUGUGAAAGCCCGGGGCUCAACCUCGGAAUUGCAUUUGAAACUGGCAGACUAGAGUACUGUGGAGGGGGGUAGAAUUUCAGGUGUAGCGGUGAAAUGCGUAGAGAUCUGAAGGAAUACCGGUGGCGAAGGCGGCCCCCUGGACAGAUACUGACACUCAGAUGCGAAAGCGUGGGGAGCAAACAGGAUUAGAAACCCGCGUAGUCC